CUGACUCCUCCUGAGCCCCAGACAGCCCAUGAACUGCCUUGCUGGGAAUGGUAGGACGGGGUGGACUCUGGAUUGCUCCCUCUGGAUGUGUGGCUCUCCCCUCAGGAACUCCAGGAACUCCUGGUGCCGCCUGGGCCGAUGGAUUGGACACCCCAGCCCCUCCGUUCCUGCCCAGCCACUGGGUCCGUGUCCAGUGGUGGCACUGCCAGCCCUGCAGUGGGAUGUAGCCUGGAAAGUGCAGAGAGCUGAGCCAAGGGAUUGAAAGGGACCAAGCAAGGGAGGUGAAGAAAGAAGGAAGAAGGGAAGUGAGGCAUGAGCCAAGCAGCAGCAAGUUGCUGUGUAAGCAGGUGAGUUGUGUUGAGGUUCCUCAGGCAGGCACUGAGGACUUUGAGGGCUCCAGACAGAGCAGACCUGGGAAGGCCCUCGGUGAAGCCCCUUGGAAACCUUGUAAGGGUAGGUGUGUAUGGUAAUAAGUGUUGGAGAAUGUCCUGAAUAUUGAACAGGAAUGCAGGGAAGGAAAAUGAAUCCUUCUGUAAUCCUGACCCCUCCCAUCAUCUGCAGUGGAGAUAGCUCUGUGUGCCCUUUGGGAACUGAUUGCCAGGACACCUGGUGGGCUGGAAUGAUUCAAGAGCAUAGGAAUACAAGAUUGCCUGGCUUCUGAA